CCAAGAGUCUUGUUUUCACCAGACAGGAACUGACAGGUGGCGUUACUGACGUUGGAACAGCCUUUCAGCACGAGACUCUUAGACUCAAUGUCUGUGAAUGCAAAGGAGACAGGAGGGACGCCACUCAGUCCUUUGUCCUUCCACCCACGCCUGCUCUUAGUUCUUCACCUGCAGCACGGUGGCCCGGUGACCAGCAAGAGCUGGUGUGCUCCUGAAGCCCAGGCAGGAAGAAGGAGCCUGCGUGUUCAGAGUCAAGAACACCACGCGGUAAUGGUAGAGAGACCCUGGAGGUCAGAGGCCUAGACUCCCACCGCCACCUGACCCUGGAGGAAGCAGACUCCUGGAGAUGCAAAGGAUACAGCACAGAGCUGCCAAGACCCGGUGAGUGGGGGCCAGAGCUACAAGACAGAAGGAGCGCAUGGCCUGGACUCUGCAAUGAACUGCUCCAGCAAGGAAUAAACAUCUAUUGUAUUGAGCCAUAGGCUUUGGAGGUUGUUCUUUAACUUUUUAACUAGUUAAGGUUUCUAAAUUUUCUUAGCUUUAAUUUCUAAGACAGUGUAUACUGAUAGAUGGAGUCCACAUAAACAAAAGUUCUUUGGGGUCCUCAAUAAUUUUUAAGACAUAGAGUCUUAACAGAGGGCCUGAGAUCACAAGGUUUGAGAACUACUGAUGGCCACUAAUGUCCCUCUCACACAACCUGAAUCACUAAGAAAGAGGGGAGGCAUAGUGAAGUGCUGGUUUUCCCCAUUUGUUUCCUGUGUAAUUGCUGUAAGUCACAUGUUAAUGCCAUCCAGAUACUCACUGAAGUGCCUGGGCUUGAGAUGUCCACCCAAGGGAAAGGAGAACAGGUGAAAAAGGAAGAGCCAGGGCUGGGAGGACACAAGAAGCCCGCCUGCAUGGCCAGCACCCACCCAGGGCAUCACUGGUAUUGUUAACAGCAAUUAACUUACCUUAACUAAUAAAUGUAUUAACCUUUAACUGUUUGGGCAAAUGUUAGAAAUGUGUAUUUUACAAUGGUUAGUAUCAAAUGUGGAUCUCACAAUGGGUAGCGUCAAAUGUGGAUCUCACAAUGGGUAGCGUCAAAUGUGGAUCUCACAAUGGGUAGCGUCAAAUGUGGAUCUCACAAUGGGUAGCGUCAAAUGUGGAUCUCACAAUGGGUAGUGUCAAAUGUGUAUUUUACGAUAGUUAGUAUCAAACUGCUUUUGUAGAAAAGCACAAUUGGUUGGAUUUAAGGCCCAAUUUGACUCUUUCUGCCAGGUGAUCCAAGCUACCAAAAGCCAACACCUCUUAGUGACAACUAGAGAAUAAAAGUGUAGAUAUAAAAGGAAAUAAAAGUUGCACCACCCUCACCUAUAGAAUGAUGCGACCUGGUAAAGAAGUGAAUGUCAGGAGGGGUGUGAUGCGCUUAGACAAAUGUGACUGGAUUACAAGCCACAGGAGAAUAGAGUUCAAGGGAAGGGUAGCCCAGGAGAAACAGCUCUGCUCUAAGAAGGCAGCAAUAGCAGCGAGCUCAAGGCUACAUGAGCAGCCACUGUAUUUAAAGACAUUAUGGCCCUUAUCCCCCUUGUCCCACGACUCCCCUGGUCCUUCUGUGUUAACCCAGAAUUUAUGAACCAAGACUUGACAUGUUUCCAGCCCAAGUCCCAUAGAGGAAUUAGAACUCCAAGACUUACCAUUCUUAAGUUCUGCAACUAGAAAGACACACUGUUCUUCUUCAUAGCAUUUCCAGGGCUUCCCAUGACAGGAAGUUCCAUUAGAUUCAUAACAAGCAGGGCACUCUGCGUUGCUGGACACGUUCUUCAGGGGAGGGUCUGGAAGAGUCAGAGUCAUUACUCAGGACAGUGUUAUCAUACAGAACAUGGGAGGAAGGGGAUAGGCAAGCAAAGAAAGCACCAAAGAGAUCGGAGAACGGAGCAAUGACAUCCUUGGGAAUCUCAGAUCUAGCCUUGAAAACACCAUGUCUCCUCAAAAUAUUUACUACACACAGCUCCACAGAUCUGCUCUAACAGACUAUCUAGCCUUUAAGAACUGUGGCCCAUCAGUGUGUUUGGGUAUAGACUGAGAAAGGUAAGAUUUUGAGCUAAAACCAAACUAUAGUCAACAUGAACAUUAGCUAGCCAUCCUGAACAUUUGCCAAUAAGUGGGUGAGUGUUACUAAAUCCUGCUCUGAACAAAUGAACACAGGCCACUAUUUAACAUUAUGACUAGAAGAAAAAAAUUUACAAUGAGACCAGCUCUGCUCUUAAUUAACUGUGCUUUAUGACCAUGGCCAAUAAACUUUGCCUUUUCAGCCACAUUUUCUGUUUUUCAAAAAGAGAGCUUUGGUCUAGAUCAGCAGGUCUCAAAUUGUGGUGCAGGAAGCCUUGAGUCCCUGAGACCCUUACAGGGAGUACUACAAGGUUCAAACCAUACUCAUGAUAAUACUAAAAUAUUAUUUACUUAUUUCACUCUCUUUCUCUUGUGAAUGUAAAGUGGAGUUUCCCAGAGGCUCCAUGAUGUGUGAGACUGUAACAGACUAAAUGCACAAGUAAAUAUGAGAAUCCAGCUGUCUUUUAUUAAGUCAGAAACUAAAGAAUUUCCAAAAGGUAUAAUAACAAUGCCACCCUUCCCGUUGUAUAUGUUUCUUUUGGAGAAUAUAGUUAUAUUACUGUUGAUGUGUAAUGUGUUUUGGUUAUUUUGGCAAACUAGUUACAAUUUGUAAAUAUUAUUAGCUUUAAUUUCUAAGACAGUACAUAUUGAUAGAUGGAGUCCACAUAAACGAAAGUUCUUUGGGGUCCUCAAUAAUUUUUAAGACAUAGAGUCUUAACAGAGGGCCUGAGAUCACAAAAUUUGAGAACUACUGACCGGAACUAAAGUCCCUCUCGCACAACUUGCAAUGUCUGUCUUCACUAAGAAAGAGGGGAGGCAUGGCGGAAGUGCUGGUUUGCCCCAUUUGUUUCCUGUGUAAUUGCUGUAAGUCCGAUGUUAAUGCCAUCCGGAUAUACACUGAAGUGUCUGGACUUGAGAUGUCCACCCAAGGGAAAGGAGAAUGGUUGAAAAAGGAAGAACCAGGGCUGAGAGGACACAGGAAGGCAGGAAGGCUGUCCACAUGGCCAGCAGCACCCACCCAGGGCAUCGCCCGCACGGCCAGCACCCACCCAGGGCAUCCCCCGCACGGCCAGCACCCACCCAGGGCAUCGCCCGCACGGCCAGCACCCACCCAGGGCAUCGCCCGCACGGCCAGCACCCACCCAGGGCAUCGCCCGCACGGCCAGCACCCACCCAGGGCAUCGCCCGCACGGCCAGCAGCACCCACCCAGGGCAUCGCCCGCACGGCCA
rnacentral:lncRNA from 1 species